rnacentral:tRNA from 1 species
GGGGUCGUGGCUCAGUGGUAGAGCACUUGCCUAGCAUGCAUGAGGCACUGGGUUCAAUCCCUGGCACCA